UACGUAGGGUGCAAGCGUUAAUCGGAAUUACUGGGCGUAAAGCGUGCGCAGGCGGCUUUGCAAGACAGAUGUGAAAUGCCCGGGCUUAACCUGGGAACUGCAUUUGUGACUGCAUGGCUAGAGUUUGGCAGAGGGGGGUAGAAUUCCACGUGUAGCAGUGAAAUGCGUAGAUAUGUGGAGGAACACCGAUGGCGAAGGCAGCCCCCUGGGUCAAGACUGACGCUCAUGCACGAAAGCGUGGGGAGCAAACAGG
rnacentral:rRNA from 1 species